rnacentral:rRNA from 1 species
UACGUAGGUGGCAAGCGUUGUUCGGAAUUACUGGGCGUAAAGCGCGCGUAGGCGGCUCUUCAAGUCAGACGUGAAAGCCCCGGGCUUAACUCGGGAACUGCGUUUGAUACUGUCGGGCUAGAGUGUGGAAGGGGCGAUUGGAAUUCCGGGUGUAGCGGUGAAAUGCGUAGAUAUACGGAGGAACACCAGGGGCGAAGGCGGAUCGCUGGGCCAACACUGACGCUGAUGUGCGAAAGCGAGGGGAGCAAACGGG